AAUAUAACUGAAAAGCUUUCCCUGUGUGUCUGUCCCCUGGCCCUGCAACCCCCGAGGCCGCUCGAGAGGAUGCAGAGAAGCCUCCCAAGGACAGCGCGUGGGGCCCCGUUUCUCCCGAACUUCGGCAGGUCGUGUUUUCCCUGGAAACCGGGGCCCAACUCUCAGCUGGCUCCUCUGAGGAUCCCAUGCCCUAAGUUUUCUCUGCAAUGCUAGAAGCUGGCCAGGAUUUCCAACAUUUCAGCAUUCCUAAUUAAAGGAGGAUUGUCUUUAUCGGGCUGGCAGAUGGUGUUCGGCAGUCUGCUAAAACAGAAACGUGUUUGUGAGGCCUUCUCUGUCGAGUUUCAUCAGAAGUAAAUGUAGCAGGCGUACCUUGCCUGUGAGUAACUGGAUCAUACUUUGGGUGUUAUACCUAAGAAAUCUUUGACUAAUUCAUGGACAAAGGUGAAAACUUUUCAAGCACCCAGAACAAUUCAUGGCUACCAGGACACAGAACCUCAACAGCAGAUAACUCAAUAAAGACAGUCCCUGGUUGAGAUGGAAUGACUGAAUAAGCUAAUUCCUUUUCUCAGCGCCCUUCAACAUCGCUGAUUUCAGGGUUGGACUUCGGAGAGUGAUGAGAAGAAAAUAAAAAUCUUCUUUACCUUUUCCACAUCAAAGUCUUUUGUCUCCAUGCAUAAAAAGUAGCCAGGGGAAAAUGAGUGGGAGCAGCUGAAAAGUCAGAGAUGGGGACAAGUGAAGUGGGCUUUAGGAACCCCUGCCACUGACUGACUGCUCUUGAGAUUCAGAUCACAUGUAGAGAACCAGGUAUCACAUGUGAACACUAGUGUGGCAUUGGCAAGAUUAGAUCACUGUUGUUAGUCUAUGUCUAUUGAAUUGAUACUCACGCUUGAAAAGUAACAGUUAAGAAUUGCUGGCAUCUGAAAACUUCUUUUCUUGGAUACUGAAUAGGAGUCUAGAAGACUGAAGAGGCAGGACAUCUUACGUCUGUGCCACACUAAGUCACUUCAGUCCUGUCUGACUCUUCGUGACGCUAUGGACCAGUAGCCCGCCACUCCCCUUGAUCCAUGGAAUUUUCCAGGCAGGAAUACUGGAGUGGGUUGCCAUGUGUUCCUCCAGGGGGUCUUCCCACCCCAGGCAGACCCAGGGAUGGAACCAGUCUUGUGUCUACUGCACCGGCACCUGGGAAGUUCCACCACCAGUUCCACCUGGGAAGCCCAUAUCCUACGUAAAGCACAGUCCUGCUUGUACGGGAUUACAUUUCUUCUGUUCUUCUGUUCUUAUUGAAAGGGAAAGUGUCAGUCCCUCAGCCACAUCCAGCUCUUUGCAACCCCAUGGACUGUAGCCCACCAGGCUCCUCUGUCAGUGAGAUUCUCCAGGCAAGCACAUGGAGUGGGUUGCCGUUUCCUUCUCUGGGGAAUCUUCCUGACCCAGGGAUCCAACCUCAGUCUCCUGAAACUCCUGCAUUGCAAGUGGAUUCUUCACUGCUGAGCCACGCCCGUAGGUGGUGGUGGGCGGGGGGCGGGGGGUACAAUUAUAAUAAUAGGCAUGGUUUAUUCUUUUACAAUUCAAAAGAUUUUUCAGUCCUAGCAAUGACAAAAAGUCAUUUUAGUAUGUAGAAAUUCACACUAAAUUUAUCCUAGCUAUAGGAUACUGGAUGAAAUCUUGGGGCAAUCUGCUUUGUAUUAUAAUACUUCCUUGUAUUUGUACAAUAUUAUUUCCUUAAAAUAUGUGAUUACAAAGCAUAAUACAUAUAAAAUAUAUAAUAUAAAUGAAUGGCUAAAAUAAUAAUAAAAACAUCUCCUGCACCCACUAUUAAUACUUUGAAAUCCUAUGUAGCUUUCCCAAAUUAUAUUCCCCUUUCUUUCUCCUGAAUUUUGUGUAUAGGGUUCCCUCAAGUCUCAGCAUAUAGGAAUGUUCCUAAAUGUUAUCCUUUUUGGCUUGUGUGGUUUUGAACUUUUUAUAAAUUGAAUCAUUAUGUCCUUUUUAAAACUGUAUGUUAAGUUGUGAUGUUUGGCUCUGCUGAUACGCUGUCAUGUCCCUUAUCCACAGGAUAUACUUCCAAGGCUCUCAGUGAAAGCCUUUAAACCUCAGAUAGGACUCCACCUGAUAUUUACUAUAUUUUUCCUAACAUACAUACUCGUGCUAAAGUUUAAUUUCUAAAAUUCGGUACAGUAAGAGAGUAACAAUAACUGGUAAUAAAAUAGUACAAUUAUAACAAUAUAUUUUCAUAAGAGUUAUAUGAAUGUGGUCUCUCUCAGAAUAUCUUAUUGUACAAGUUUAAUGUCUUUUCCAUGUCAACUAAGCCCUGAUUAUGCACUGUGGCUGUAACUUUUGCAGUCUGAGGUGUGACAGCAGACAGCAAAACUAGCAAUUCCUUUUUCCUUCUUCACAAUUUCAUGGCUGGAAGAUUUGUUCUCACCAUAGAUCUCAGCAACCUCUGUGUACGAUGGUUUUUCUUUCCUUAUUAAGUGGAGUACUUUCACCUUUUCAGUUGAUGACGUCUCUUUGGCUCUCAGAAUUGCCUGCGUCACAACUCUUGUGCUUUGGGGCCAUUAUUGUUAAGGUAAAAUAAAGGUGACUUGAACAGAAGCACUGUAAUGCCUUGGUGGUCAUCUGGAUCUCAGAGCCCAGACAGAUGGCUGCUAAGUGACGAACAGGAGGGACCGACGGGAAGAUUCUCCACCAAGGCAGGACCUUGGGAGAUUUCACUGCCACUCAGAGCAGGGUGCAACUUAAAACUUGUGAAUUUUUAGUUUACCCCUGGAAGUUUCCACUUACUAUUUUUGAACUGAGGAAAGCAGAAUGGCAGAUGAAAAGGGGACAACUAUAGUUAACUGCGGUUCAUUCAUUUUUCACUACUAUUCAUUUUGCACUUCAUUAUUAUAUAUAUCACAAGAAGCA